rnacentral:lncRNA from 1 species
AUGCCAUUCCUCCCACAGCCAGCAAGGCCAUACACACACACGCACGAACACACACACAUACACACAUGCACAAACACACACACACAGACUCAAACACACGCACAUACACACACGCACGAACACACACACACACUCAAACACACGCACAUACACACAUGCACAACACACACACACUCAAACACACGCACAUACACACACGCACAUACACACACGCACGAACACACACACACACACACACUCAAACACACGCACAUACACACAUGCACAAACACACACACACAGACUCAAACACACGCACAUACACACAUGCACAAACACACACACUCACACACACGCACAUACACACACGCACGAACACACACACACACACUCAAACACGCACAUACACACAUGCACAAACACACACACUCACACACACCACAUACCACACCACAAACCACACACUCACAUACACACACGCACGAACACACCACACACUCACACUCACAUACACACAUGCACAAACACAUACACACACACUCACUACACACGCACAUACACCAUUCACAACACACACACUCACACUCACUACACACAUACACACACACUCACUACACACGUAACACUCCUAACACCACACCCCCACUCAACCACUCCCACCCAUCACCACCCCACCUCACACUCAAACACCUCACAUACACAUACACUCACCACACACACACACACUCAACCACACACUCACCACACACACGAACACACACACACACACACUCAAACACACGCACAUACACACAUGCACAAACACACACACUCAAACACAUGCUCAAACACACACACUCAAACACACACACAUACACACACACACUCAAACACACGCACAUACACACAUGCACAAACACACACACACACUCAAACACACGCACAUACACAUUUACAUUUACAUUUACAGUAUUUACCAGACGCCCUUAUCCAGAGCGACUUACAAUCAGUAGUUACAGGGACAGUCUCCCUGGAGCAACUUAA